CUUUAAUCCAUCUUGAGUUAAUUUUUGUAUAAGGUAUGAAGAAGGUAUCCAGUUUUAAUUUUCUUCAUAUGGCCAGCUAGUUCUCCUAGCACCAAUUAUAAAUAGGAAAUUAUUUCCCUAUUGCUUGUUUUUUUCAGGUUUGUUGAAGAUCAAAUGGCUAUAGAUGUACUGUCUUAUGUCUGACAUUUCUAUUCUGUUUCAUUAGUCUAUGUGUCUGUUUCUGUUCCAGUACCAUGCUGGUUUUUAUUACUGUAGCCUUAUAGUAUAGUUUGCAGUCGGGUAGUGUGAUACCUCCAGUUUUGUUAUUUUUGCUUAAGUUUGCCUUGGCUAUAAGGACUUUUUCAUUGCCAUAUGAAUUUUAAAGUAGUUGUUUUCUAAUUAUGUGAAGGGUGUCAAUGGUAGUUUAAUGGGAAUAGCAUUGAAUCGCUAAAUUACUUUGGACAGUAUGGCCAUUUUCAAGAGGAUAUGGCACUAAUUGUUGAUACAUUCUAGUGGAUAUUUAUGUUGUUUCCAGUUUUGCUGUUUUUGCUUUUGUUUUUGCCGUGUUAAAUGAGACCACUAGAAUAUAACACUGGAUCACAGAUUGUUAAUCUACCUCUUUCUAAGAUAGUGCCAAGUUGUUUUCCAAAGAUAAUAAUACUAGUUUCCACUCUAGCUGCCAGGGCGUGAGGGCCUCUACUGCUCCACAUACGCUAAUAUGAGGCAGCACAGGGGAUUGUCAGACUUCCUGAUUUUUGCCAGUCUGUUGGAGAUUUAGUGGUAUCUCAGUGUGAUUUUAUUUAUAUUUACUUGAAAACUAUAUGAUGUAAGUUUCCAGUUGUGUCUAAUUUCGAAAGAAAAAACAAACACUGUAGCAGAACAAAACAAAAGCAAACAAUAUAGCAACCAAAUGGAAACAACACACACAAAAUAAACACCCAAGGAACCUUAUUUAAAUUAUCAUUCUUGAGCCAGUGAGUAAUUUAUGCUGUUUUUAUUUUAAUGCAUGCUCUAUAUUCAUCUGUUAGAUUACUUCAUUAUACAGGCAGAUUCUCCAUAUGGAUCAACCUGACAGUAAGAAAUAUGUAUGUUUUGAGAAGCAGAGCUGCUAUGUGUCGUUGCUGACUCUAUUGUUUCACCAGUUUUCCUUUAGUUACAAAACACAUGAGAACAAGGAUGGGAAUUAGAGAAAUUUUUCAAGUGUAAGAAGGUUUCAGAUCUGCUCACAUCACUUAUUGGAUAUGCAGUGCCAUGUUAGGUCUUUAUUUUGUGUUAAAGUUAUCUGUUCUUUCUCUUGAUUCUCCUCCUUCCAAAUUGUUAACCUGCAUACAACAUCAAUAACAAAAACAUGAAACAAUUCUUAAGCCAAUCUAUUAGCCACCACUUCCAUGUCACUACCACCAUCCCACUUUAAAAGUGGCCCCAUGCAGGGCUUCUUCUAGAAUUUUACAGUAUCUUUAUUCAGGGCCAACUGUGACCCUUCUGCAGAAUGAGAUGGAGUUCCCCAACUUUUAUGUGCAUUUUUUUUUAAUCCUCUCUUACUUUUGGAUGUUUAGGCCCUGAAAGUACACAGUAUCAGAGCUGAUCAUGUGUGUUUUCAGGGCCCAAACAUUCAAGACAGUCUGCACCAAGAUGACCCCAAUAGUUCUUAAAAUAUUGAAGUAUUCCCCUGCAGGUUGGUUAAUAAGCAGUAAGCAGUUGUCUCAGAAUUUGUGUGGCCAAUCACAACAGGAGGCCCUCCAGGACUCUUUUAUAGCAGCAUAGAUUGGUGCUAUUUUGAAUGGUUGAAACAUCGUGUGUGUGUGUGUGUGUGUGUGUGUGUGUGUGUGUGUGUGUGUUAGUGGAAGCAGAGCAAGGGGAAGAUAGGAGGCAGUGAGGUUUGUCUAUGACAUUCUCACUCUCCCUAGUUGCUUCUUUUCUUUACAAAAUCCAGAGCAGAUCACUCUCAAUUUUCCUUUCCUUUCCUUUCCAUCUAUCUAGGACUUACCACUGCAGACCUCUGGGUUUUGCAAAUUAACUUUUUCCCAAGGGCAGCCUCUUGACCAGACUUUGACGGUUGGUGGAGAAAUAGGGGGAGCCCAGUCAACCAAUAUACUACGUAUAAGGAACUGAACUGGGAGACAUUUCAAAAAUACAUCUAUCAUCCACACAUACAAAUGAUGCAUAAUGACCUUUUGGGUAGAUUUUAGUGAAGGAAAAUGUAAAUCUUCAAUGCAGGUUACAAAAAAUAAGGAUGGCAAAGUAACCCAUAAUAACACCUCUUGUAUUAUUCAUGGCCUUUGAUGAAAGAUUUUUAAAUCAACAGUCUCACCUUUUCUUUAUCAGCCAAAUUUAAUUAUAUUUCCACCAAGAUAAUUCUUUACUUUUUUGGCUCAAAAAUGACAAAACUUCUUUCUAGAUUCAUUUUGUAUUUUUAGGAUUUUUCAAGAAAUCAGGAAGCAACAGUUACUUUCAAAUGCUUUUACAAGGGUAACCAAAAGGCCAAUGUUACCUCAAAGGAAAGGUAUGUGUGUCAGACUCAGCCCACUGAAUGCCAAAAAUAAGAAGAUAUUUAUUACUGAAACCUGGUUUUAUUGGCAGGGAAAAAUGCAAUUGAGAAUACAAAUCACCAAUAAAGCCCAUAUAAAGCAAUGUUCUUUCUUAGUCAUUUUGCAAUUAACGAAGUUUUAAUUUUUUAAAAAAAAUCUUGUAAUGUAUAAAAUGCUUCCUAUGCAAAUAAAUUUCCUGAAUUUGAGUGAAAAUACUUUGGUUUCACCCCAGUUUCAUGACACCCUUUCUAUCUGACAAAUUCUUUCAACAGAAUAUGGGAGUGAUUUCGUCCAGUUAUUCUUCUUAGGUCUCCGUGGAAAUUUCUUUGUUUUAUAAAUACCAUCUGGCCUAAUAAGAUUCUAACAGCUCUACAUGUACUCUGUCUUUCUUUGUAUUUGAAUUUUUUCACUGGAGUCAUUGUUGGGAAGGAAAUGUAAAAAUAAGGGGAAAAAAUAUGUAUGUUAAAUGAGCAUGGCAGUUCUCUCUGUCAUUUAAGGAAAGUAAUUACAGUUAUUCAUUUGAUUUACUGAAUGUAAGUGUUCAGUUUGAACACUGUCCAAAGGAUGUUGUUAUCCAGUGAUCCUAAACGAAAAUUGCUGCUGUAGUCACUGACGGAUUUACUCCAGGAAUGUAUAAUCUUGUGUUAGCACAAGUGUGUCUUCAAAAUGUUAGGAAUAAAUCUUCUUAAGCAGGAUUUCUUAUAUGUUCUCAAUAACUAAUCUUUACUCCUUAUCACUGUCUCUCUCACCCCACUGUGUGUGUGUGUGUGUGUGUGUGUGUGUGUGUGUGUGUGUGUGUGUGUGUGUGUAGAAGUACUUGAUUGUUCCAUUUAUUGUAAUCUAUAUUCCAUAUCUAAGCUGGCAAAACCCUAACUUUACAACAGUAGCCAAGCAGACACUCUGGAAAGUAUGAAAUGAAUUUGAGAUUCUACAAAGAAUCUCCACAUUUUUUCACCAGAAAAAAAAAAAUUGUUUCCUCAUAAGCUUAUGCUAACAGAAAUAUCUGCGAUAACAAAAUCAGUGAACUAUUACCUGCGAGGUCAAACUACAUUCUAAAUAAAUUAUGCUACUGUUACUCAAACCAUGUAUUAAUAGGUAGAGGAACUAUAUUCUAGGUAAGUGGGAAGAAGGAUCACCAAACAUUGAGGUUUGGAGGGCAGCAGGCAGAUGUGGAAGAGAUUGUCUCCGCAGAUUCAGAAGUGCAAUUUAUCUUGAUAACAUCAGGAGACACCAGUGUUCUGAUCUUCAUUGCUCAGGUCCCAAAUCUUGACCUAGAACCCUGAGAUGGCCUCAUCCCUUAAGAUCGUAUUUAAUCUAUUUACAAGAGAAACUGGUGUAUAAUUCAUAGCAACUUAAUACAUUUACAGUUGAAACUACAGUGGUACAGACAAGUGAGCAGCCCAUUGUCUCCAUUUAGAGCAAUAGUUCAUACCUGUAACACUGCCUGAAAAGAACUUCCACAGACAGGCAGGGCUCCCGGUAAUGAGAAAUGUCUACAUGGACAGCAUGAUAAUGGUUUUGUGCAAUUGUUAAAGCAGGAGCUCUAAGUUUACCACUUCUGUCUUAAGAAUUCCUUAACAUAGCACUGUGGCUUUACCCUUGCUACAGAUAAUUCUAUAGGAAAAUCCCAUUGUAAUCAAAGCAUUGCUCUGUGAUUACUGAGAUGCUGACAGAUGACUGUUUCAUUUAUUUGUAUUUUAUGUAAUCAGCUAAUGAUAUUUACAUACAUCUUUCUCUAUGCCUACUGUGCCAGGGACUUGAAUGCAUAAGUCAGGACAACCAUACCUCUGAGGACAGUACUUGGAUGAUGUCUGGAAAAAAUGCCUCUGUAAUUAUUACAAAUUUUCAAUCUUAGGUCCAUUGAUAACCAGCUCCCAUCUUGACUGCCAGUUUUUUAUGUUAAUAUAAUCAAUUACUUUUGACUGAGUCAGGUAACAGGUCUCCCUUUGCAGAGUAAAUCUGGAAACAUCUUUUCUCAUUUAUUUUGCUGUUAUUUCAGUUUUGCUCUAAGAAGACAAACACAUUUUCCUUAUUUUGAACUUGGCAGUUGGAGAAGUUGAUUGCUGUUGCUGCUUCGUUUUUCAGCUUGAUAUUUUCAAAGGCCAUGCUGUAAUUAGUAAUCUUUUUUACUCAAUAGUUUCUAUUCAAUUAUCCUCAUUAUCCAUGGAAUUCUUUUUAAAAAAAAAAGUUGUUCUAAUAUGCUUUAGAACUGAACUGCAUUUCCUGCCUGCCUGCUUUCCAGAGUCAUCAUUUUCCAUCCCUCCCUCCCUUUUUCUGUUUUUUCUUCCUUCUCUUUUUUCUCUUCCUGUUUUCUUCCCUUCCUUCUUUCCUUGAGAAUAAUUCAGUCUGAAAGAUAUUUUUGGGGUUCA